UUGGAAGAGUACGUGCCAGAAAGACCACGACCAAGCAGCCUUGAGAUCUUAGGCAGCGUCUCCCUCAGGUCCCUCUCUAUCUCCCUACACAUCCACCAACCACUGGAACACAUCUCCAAAGUUCUGCUGGGCCAGCUCAGCUUCCCCUCAGAAGAAGUGCCGCCACCUGCCAGAUGAAGGAGCCUUUUGAGAGGCAGCUGGCAUCGUGAUUGGACUGUACUUUGGUCUGUUCCAAUCCAGCUUCAGCUCCAGAGACGGCAGGCGGGACGAGUCAACGGAGGCCGGGUGGACGAAGGCAUGCAGCUGAGUACAAUCCAGAAAACAACAGAGGAGGAGUGCAGGGCCAGAACAACCAGAGUAGCAUCGUAUGUCUCUUAGAAAACAUCAUAGUAUAGCCUUUGGUAUGAAAAAACGCCAUCAUAUACAUCGUAUAUUGUACAAAUAACAAGUCAAAGGAAAGAGACAUACAUUGUAGAAUUGUAGUAAUUGUGGGCUGACUGAUUUACUGAUUAUCAGUAUUUUAUUUUUUACUGAUUUACGGUAAUAAAUACAUUUAAAAAUGG